UGCCCAAUUUUUUUUAAAUUUCUUAAUACACAAUUUUUUGUACUGAUCAAACUAUAAGGAACUUAGGAAAAAUAAGUGAAAAAGUAUAUAUAGCGCUCGAGCAGAGCUUGUUUUAACCUAAGUACACCGAAUAUUGGACUAUGAUCACAGUUUUUGGUUGGCAAGUUAUGUCCAUCUUAAUACAGAGAUGAGAAAAAAGUCGACUAAAGACUUUACUCAAAAAGAUUUUUUCAAGUUGAAUAACGCUGUUUUUGUUAAAACUGUGUUGGAAUGUCGGAAACAGAAUGAAAAUGUCAGUCGUCUGCACCCUCGAUGCUUGUCAAGGAUGUUGUACACUGAAAAUCUGUGUACGGUUCACCUUCAUAAAGAUGUGUUGACAUUUUACAAACCGGGAUAAUAUGUUGAGUUUUCUGUGUUGGAAAUUUCGCAAACUUUAAUGUACAAUUUUCAUUAUUAUAUAACGAAAAAUACUAUGCAAACGAUACCUGUACAAUUACUUUACACGGAUAAUCUAACGUACCUCAUCAAAGCAAAAGAUUUUGAUAAUGACUUGCUGUAGAAAUUGGAUAGAUUCAAAUUUCCACACCAUCACACGCGCUAAAAGAAAAAAAGUCUGCAAAACUUUUAACGACGAGACUUGAGGCGAAAUGAUUUCGGAGCAGAUUCGGCUAAAUCAUAUCAAUUGGGGGACGAGCACAUCAAGGCUACUGGCCAAGGGGUGGCUUGGAAGGAUUAUACGACUAAACCAUUCGACCGACUAUGAUAACGCGGACUCUUUGUUGUACCUGCCAGCCGGGGUAGCUGUGCUGUCAUCAGCCGUGGUGGAUGCACUACUUACUUCAAGUUGUCAACUUGAUAUUGUUACGUUAUUUAUAUUAUAUACAUAUUUAUAUCUGUUUGUAAAAAUGUUAUUUUUUGUUGUGCAUUGUUUUACAGCUCUAUAAAAAUUGUCCUCUAACAGAG